CCUGAGGAGGGGAAAAUGGCGGCUGAGGCCUUGACAGCGUAGGGAGGCCUAGAAUCCUGGAUCCCCGGCGCCGUCGGAGCGUAGGCCUCAAAAUGUAUGUGGAGUGUGAAAAUUUUCCACCAAGCAAUAUAGUAUCUCCGAUGACGGCUCCCACCAAAGCAGCCUAACAAAAUCCCACGUUUCGUCAAGAGGAUUAAAGGCCGUCCAGCAGUGAACUCAGCAUGUAUUUGCCAAGUGACACUUCCCUGGGUUUUAGGGAAUGUAAGGCAUGACUUGUAGAAUCAGGUUACUAAUUCACAAGAUUGACACGGAUUGUGCCAGAGCCAAUUAAUGCAACCUAUUUGCGGUACAGCCACACAUGGACCGUGUGGAAGAACUUAGCAUAGAGAAGAGACUUCUCAAGAUGGAAUGGGUAACAGUUUGGCAUUUGCAAGUUCCAUGUCACAGGCUGAGGACCUUGGAAAACUACAAGUCCCAUCAGUCCAAUCCCUAGGAAAGGCAUGUUCCUGAAAGCUCUGCACUCAAGCCCAGAUGCUACUAGGCAAAAUAGACUAAUUGUCUGACUAGGUAUGUGCCCAUUUUCUAUGUUGCUAAAAGAGAGGCAAUUAAAGUAUAAUGUAAAUAGGUACAGAUCCAGCAUCCUGACUCUGGAAUUCAAAACCCACUGGGGUGUCUGAGAUAGUGCCACCUUUGUUUUCUGAGGUUGAGUGUUCACCAACUUUUUUCAUGCACAUUAUAUUAAAAAUAUUGCGUACCAACUUGGGUACCCAGGGUUGCCCGGACUAUUCGAAAAAAUCCGUUUUUAAUUGUACAAAAUGCAUAAGCUUGUGGGUGAACAACUCUCACCAUGGCAGGUUAACCCCAAAAUCUUCAUCAGUACUUAAAAGUGUGUUAUGGUGGGCACAUUUGUUCUGGAUGUAUCAUGGGUGGGCUUCAGUGUGCGCUCUGGCUGUAGGGUAAACUACAACUCCCACUAUGGCAAAUCAGUCCCUACAAACCCCUCCAGUAGGUUGAGUUAAUCAUGGGGGUUCUGUGUGCCAAAUCCAUAAAGUCCAUCAUCAGUGAAGGUCACAGUUCCCCUGGUUGUGGGUGAACUACAACUCCCAGAAAGGAAGGUCAGAUUCCCCCAAACCCCUCCAGGAAUCAAAUUUCAGCAUAUCAAGUAUGUGUGUCAAGUUUGGCCCAGAUCCAUCGGUGUUUGGGUUCAGAGUGCUCUCUGGAUGUAGGUGAACUACAACUCCCCUAAAUAAAGGUAAAUUUUUCCCAAAGAUGGCCAGUAUUUUUUGCCAGUCAUGGAGGCCCUGUGUGCCAAGUUUGGUCCAAUUCCAUCUUUGGUGGAGUUCAGAGUACUCAUUGAUUGCAGGCGAACUAUACAUCCCAGUAUCCACAACUCCAAAAUGUCCAGGCCAAUUCCCCUCACAAGCCCUCAAAUUUUUGUUGCUGUUACUAUUAUGUUCAGUUCCUGUAACCCAGGGGUCCCCAAAUUAAGGCCUGGGGGCCAGAUGCAGCCCUCCAAGGUCAUUUACCUGGCCCCCGCCCUCAGUUUUAUAAUAUUUUUAUAUCAGUUUUAAUAAUAUAAUAUAUUGUAUAUACAUAUAAUAUUAAUAAUCUUAUGUUAUACAAUAUAAUACUAAUAGUAAUACCAUAUAAUAAUAUUAAUUAUAUGUUAUAUAUUGCAUAUUAUAUAAUAGUAUAGUGGUAUAGUUCAAUAUAGUAAUGUAUAAUGCUAAUAUUGUGUUAAGCUAAUACAGUAGAGUCUCACUUAUCCAAGCUAAAUGGGCCGGCAGAAGCUUGGAUAAGCGAAUAUGUUGGAUAAUAAGGAGGGAUCAAGGAAAAGCCUAUUAAACCUCAAAUUAGGUUAUGAUUUUACAAAUUAAGCAUCAAAACAUCAUGUUAUACAACAAAUUUGACAGAAAAAGUAGUUCAAUAUGCAGUUGUUAUGUUGUAAUUACUGUAUUUACAAAUUUAGCACCAAAAUAUCACGAUAUAUUGAAAACAUUGACUACAAAAAUGGCUUGGAUUAUCCAGAGGCUUGGAUAAGUGAGGCUUGGAUAAGUGAGACUCUACUGUAAUAUAUUGUAUGUACAUACAGCUGCUCUGAGUCCCCUUCGGGGUGAGAAGGAUGGGAUAUAAAUGCAGUAAAUAAAUGCAGUAAAUAAAUAAUUAAUUUUAGACUUAGGCUCUGCCAAAGUCUGACAUGACUUGAAGGCACACAACAACAACAAUCCUAAUUAGCUUGACUAUCUCAUUGGCCAGUAGCAGGCCCACACUUUCCAUUGAAAUCCUAAUAGGUUUAUGUUGGUUAAAAUUGUUUUCAUUUUUAAAUAUUGUAUUGUUCUUUCGUUGUUGUUGCACUUCAAAUAAGACAUGUGCAGUAUAUGCAUAGGAAUUUGUUUGUAUUUUUUUUCCAAAUGAUAAUUUGAAGGCACACAACAACAACAAUCCUAAUUAGCUUGACUAUCUCAUUGGCCAGUAGCAGGCCCACACUUUCCAUUGAAAUCCUAAUAGGUUUAUGUUGGUUAAAAUUGUUUUCAUUUUUAAAUAUUGUAUUGUUCUUUCGUUGUUGUUGCACUUCAAAUAAGACAUGUGCAGUAUAUGCA